rnacentral:rRNA from 1 species
GGGCCGGGGAAAUAGCUUGCUACUUUUGCCGGCGAGCGGCGGACGGGUGAGUAAUGCCUGGGAAAUUGCCCAGUCGAGGGGGAUAACAGUUGGAAACGACUGCUAAUACCGCAUACGCCCUACGGGGGAAAGCAGGGGACCUUCGGGCCUUGGGCGAUUGGAUAUGCCCCGGGGGGAUUAACUAGUUGGGGAGGUAAUGGCUCACCAAGGCGACCAUCCCUAACUGGUCUGAAAAGAUGAUCAACCACCCUGGAACUGAAACACGGGCCAGACUCCUACGGGAGGGAGCAGUGGGGAAUAUUGGACAAUGGGGGAAACCCUGAUGCCACCCUGCCGCGUGGGUGAAAAAGGCCUUCCGGUUGUAAAGCACUUUCAGCGAGGAAGAAAGGUCAGUAACUAAUAUCUGCUGGCUGUGACCUUACUCCCAAAAAAAACACCGGCUAACUCCCUGCCAGCAGCCCCGGUAAUACGGAAGGUGCAAGCGUUAAUCCGAAUUACUGGGCGUAAAGCGCACGCAGGCGGUUGGAUAAAUUAAAUGUUAAAGCCCCGGGCUCAACCUGGGAAUUUCAUUUAAAACUGUCCAGCUAAAAUCUUGUAAAAGGGGGUAAAAUUUCAGGUGUAACCGUGGAAUGCGUAAAAAUCUGGAGGAAUACCGGUGGCGAAGGGGGCCCCCUGGAAAAAGACUGGCGCUCAAGUGCCAAAGCGUGGGGAGCCAAACAAGGAAUAAAUACCCUGGUAAUUCCCGCCGUAAACAAUGUCCAUUUGGAGGCUGUUUUCCUUGAAAAGUGGCUUUCCGGAACUCACCCGUUAAAUUCAACCCCCUGGGGGAAUACCGGCCCCUGGU